rnacentral:rRNA from 1 species
GUGUCAGCAGCCGCGGUAAGACAGAGGUGGCAAGCGUUGCUCGGAGUUACUGGGCUUAAAGGGCGCGUAGGCGGUCGCGCACGUCGAGGGUGAAAUCCCCGGGCUCAACCCGGGAACUGCCUUCGAUACGACGCGACUGGAGUGCGGGAGGGGAGAGUGGAACUCCUGGUGGAGCGGUGAAAUGCGUAGAUAUCAGGAGGAACGCCGGUGGCGAAAGCGACUCUCUGGUCCGCAACUGACGCUGAGGCGCGAAAGCCAGGGGAGCAAACGGGAUUAGAUACCCGUGUAGUCC